UGACAGCAGGCUGGCUGCAGCAACAGAGAACAAGUGACAGCAGGAAAAGGCUGAGAGCCACAUGGCGAAGGUGUGAAGAAGAUAAGAAGAUAAACCCUGAGAAGCGACUGGAAGCAGCAGGGAAUCAGAAACCAGGAUGAAAUCUAGAACGUUUUUCUAGGAGUCGAUUCUUCAGCUUUAGUUUUCCAGAUUAAACCACCUGCAGAUUCAUGUUUUCAUCGCUGAGUCCACAGCUUCGCAGAUGAAACUGUAGAGUUUCGUGGAAGACGGGGAGUAGAAACUGUGACGCGCCGCCUGGAGCUGACGGUCAGUCGCUGCCUGGUCGCCUGAUAAACUCCCUGUAGUUGCUGAAACUCGCGGCUGUAGUUGCUGCUCUGUGUUGCUUCCUGGACCAAAGAAAACCAGACGCUGAUUCAUUUUCGUUAAAUGAACCAAUGAAUCCUUUUCCCAACGUGAACCUCAGCAGCAACAUGAAGUGAAGCAUCAAAUUAAACUCCACAUAAACUCCCAGACCUCCAGGCUGCUGGUAGUUUAGGACCAGAUGAGGCGUCUGUGAUCAGAGCGGCUCUUGAAGCUCUACAUCUAAAAAACGUUAAACCGUCAGGAUUCAUGGGGGAGCGGUUCUGGUCUCUAACUGGACCCAAACGGGUCGGUGUUUCCAGGUAGAGAUGAAGGACGAGAACAAACUGCAGAGUCCAGAGACUGAGAGCGGUUUGAGACUGGUGAAGAUAGUUCAUGUGUUCAUCGGUGACCUUUUCAUUUUCUGCCUCUCAGAGGAGUGUCAGGCGGGUUCUGGUUCUGGACCUUGUUGACCAGGAGCAGAAUCAGAGCCAGAAAACAUCAACGUCCCGGCCAGUUCUCAUGUAGACGGUGCUGAGCUACAUCGUAGUCACGGCUACCCUCUGUUAGCUGUUUCUAUGGCAACCGGGGCGUCCAGCCAGUGACGGACAAAGAGAUGAUCAGAAAUGUUAUUCAGGCUCUGCAGGGUCAAAAGGAGCCCGUCAUUUUCUGCUGACCUGACAUUAAGGUCCAGAAGUUCUGGUUCUGACUCUACAUCUGGAUCAGGAACUUCUACAAUUCAGAGUCAAAUGUCAGUGAAUCCUAAAUGUCUGUUUAUCAAGUCAGAGGACUCCAAAGCUUGUCUCAUCCAGUCUGGAAAUGUAUAUUAUUUACACUAAAAAUUGUUUUUUGCUGACAUUUUUUUAAUUUAAAUAAAUUUCUGGUAUCAGGAAAAUAAAAGAACAAAGUUGAACAUGAACUCCGGGUCACAAAACAGAAAACUGAAGAGGGGGAAAGAUAAAGAUGUUGGGGAGACGAAGAAAAGCUUUACAAAGUGGCUGAAAGACAGAAGGUAAGAAAUGUCAGAGUAUCAACAAGAGAGUUAAAUAUUCAGAUUAGCUUAAGCUAGGCUACAAUGACAGGCGGUUGUUGUUCAAUACGGGACGCGAUUUAUUCCGUAUUGAUAUAAUGUCUGAUAGACGCACCUACCACACACACCUCAACAAUAAGUGUAAUAAUAAUGACCAAAA